rnacentral:rRNA from 1 species
AUGUCUGAGAAGGCAGCAAGGAGCUCCCCUGCUCCGUCAGAGCCGCCGGUGGCGGGUGAUCAUAUGAAGGACGAUUACUGGGCUGACAUUCUCAUAAACGUGGAAGAACCGCUGUCUAGUCAGGCAAAGAAGAAGGACAAGGGCAAGAUGAGAUCAAGCAAGAAGCAGCGGCGUGACGACGAGAUGAAGCAAGAUGAGAUGCCCGCGGAGGAAGCAAAGGCCGAAAGCCAGCAAGACAAGGCAGAGGCAGAGAACGGGAAGGCGAACGGGGCGGAGGAGGACGCGUCGCUGACGGGGCUGGUGCUGCACUUCAGCAAGCCGGGCGUGGUGCCCUCGCGCGGCGACCUCAUCGACAUCUUCAGCCAGUACGGGCCCGUGAGCGAGGCGAGGACGGAGACGGACGAGCACUCGAGCUCAGCCCAGGUGGUGUUCAGGCGGCGCGCGGACGCGGAGGCGGCGUUCGGCGGUGCGGGCAAGAUCGCCGCCCUCAGGCCUGGCCUCGACAGCUUCCGCCUCACCGACUUCCCGUGCGCCGCCGCCGCCGCUGCGUUCCGGGGUGACGACGGGCCGAAGCAGGAGUGA